UGAGCUAAUCUCCAAAAGCCAUCUCAGUUCGGAUUGCACUCUGCAACUCGAGUGCAUGAAGUUGGAAUCGCUAGUAAUCGCGGAUCAGCAUGCCGCGGUGAAUACGUUCCCGGGCCUUGUACACACCGCCCGUCACACCAUGGGAGUUGGUUUUACCCGAAGGUAGUGCGCUAACCGCAAGGAGGCAGCUAACCACGGUAGGGUCAGCGACUGGGGUGAAGUCGUAACAAGGUAGCCGUAGGGGAACCUGCGGCUGGAUCACCUCCUUU
rnacentral:rRNA from 1 species